AGUGGUUAAUAAUUUAAAUUAUGAUAAUUAUCUCUUUAAAAAAUAUUAAAAAUCUAAAAAGUUAUAAAGUAUAAUAAAAAAAAAAGGUUGUAACCUUUUAAUGUGUUGAAAAUACGAUGAUAUUCGAUGAUUGCUACGUGAAUUUACAGUAAAUUAAAAAAAAUUACAAAGAUGAUGGAAAGUUCUCAACGACAUUUUAAUGUUUAAGUCAGUUACUUAUGGGAAAUCUAGAGUUCUUACCGCCAAAAUGGACAUCAACACUGUUUAGAACAAAAUUUUUUUUGGG
rnacentral:misc_RNA from 1 species